AGAAAGAAAGAAAGGAAAAAAGGUUAACACUCCCCUUGACAGGAUGAAAGAGGCCCUCGGCCUGACAAUACACACAUACAGUUAAGGCACAGCCACCUACUUUGAGACAUUGAACCAUAGCUUUUA
ensembl:snRNA